CCUACGGGAGGCAGCAGUGAGGAAUAUUGGUCAAUGGCCGAGAGGCUGAACCAGCCAAGUCGCGUGAGGGAAGACGGCCCUACGGGUUGUAAACCUCUUUUGUCGGGGAGCAAAGAGAGUCAAGUGUGACUCAUUGAGAGUACCCGAAGAAAAAGCAUCGGCUAACUCCGUGCCAGCAGCCGCGGUAAUACGGAGGAUGCGAGCGUUAUCCGGAUUUAUUGGGUUUAAAGGGUGCGCAGGCGGAGGUGCAAGUCAGCGGUCAAAUUGCGGGGCUCAACCCCGUACUGCCGUUGAAACUGCAGCCCUUGAGUGCGCGAGAAGUAUGCGGAAUGCGGGGUGUAGCGGUGAAAUGCAUAGAUAUCACGCAGAACGCCGAUUGCGAAGGCAGCAUACCGGCGCGCAACUGACGCUCAUGCACGAAAGCGUGGGUAUCGAACAGGAUUAGAUACCCGUGUAGUC
rnacentral:rRNA from 1 species